GUAAGGAAUAUUGGUCAAUGGAGGCAACUCUGAACCAGCCAUGCCGCGUGCAGGAAGACGGCCCUCUGGGUUGUAAACUGCUUUUAUCUAGGAAUAAACCUACUUACGUGUAAGUAGCUGAAUGUACUAGAAGAAUAAGGAUCGGCUAACUCCGUGCCAGCAGCCGCGGUAAUACGGAGGAUCCAAGCGUUAUCCGGAUUUAUUGGGUUUAAAGGGUGCGUAGGCGGCCUAUUAAGUCAGGGGUGAAAGACGGUAGCUCAACUAUCGCAGUGCACUUGAUACUGAUGGGCUUGAAUGAACUAGAGGUAGGCGGAAUGUGACAAGUAGCGGUGAAAUGUUUAGAUAUGUCACAGAACACCGAUUGCGAAGGCAGCUUACUAUGGUUUUAUUGACGCUGAGGCACGAAAGCGUGGGGAUCAAACAGGAUUAGAAACCCUGGUAGUCC
rnacentral:rRNA from 1 species